CUCUACGAUGCUUUCCGAAUACCAUUGAUUAUUAGCUAUUGCUUUUAUGUAAUGUUUCUCUUCAUUCUGUCUCUUCUUUUCUCUAUUAGCUAGAUGGAUAUGGAGGCAUUCUGGAGAGAUCUACAGACACAGUCGAUUAAACUACAAAAAGCCGAGGAGACAUGGGAGUUCCCGAAACAAUGUAAGCUUAACGGUGUAUUCCCUAUAACCUUCUGGAAUAUAAAGUUGCUGGUUAGCUCCAGGAGAAUAUUAGAAAAUACGAGGAGAAUUUGCCUGAAAGCAGUGACAACAAAUGUGAGGAGAAAAGUGUUUCAGCUAGCACAGAAAGAGACAACUAGAACCGGAGAAAUAUGGUGUAGACCUGGAAGAAAUAGCAGUUAGGUUAGCAUCCUUACAAGACGAGCUUACAAGAAUAAGAGAGGCUGAGAAAGAAAUAUGUUAGAAAACUCAGAUGGCUGAUCACGAAGCAAUUAAAGAAAACUAAACUAGAGGUACCGAAACUAGAGGACCAGCAUAUGCAAUAAGAACAGUAGACAGAAUCUAUGAAAUGGUACCGCAGUUUGAAAGGCUGAUAACGCAGGAGAACAAUAUGGACAAAUUGGAGAGGGAAAUAUACAGAUGGAGAUUUAUAGAAGAAGCGAUGAAGAAAAGAAGAAAUAGCAGCAACCAAGGACGAGAGGCAAGAGAAUAGAGGCAAUUAUUAAAGCAAACAUAUAAAUGGUUAUCGGAGAAUGACUUAUCAAUAACGAGAGAGGAUAAGUCAAAAAGGCUAGUACUCAGAAGAGAAACUUAUGAUACUUUCAUGGAAAGUUAUAUCAGACAGACAGAAGCGGAACUCUUAACGAAAGACCCAAUGAUGGCAUUAAAGAGGAAAUGUGAGAACUUAU
rnacentral:lncRNA from 1 species